UGAUCUUUGAUUUAGGGUUCGUAUUGUUGGUGGAACUGAUUUGUUUUCUCUGUUUGGAUUUUCGUUUCUAUUCGUUAAGACUCUUACCGGAAAGACGAUCACCCUCGAGGUGGAAAGCUCCGACACGAUCGACAACGUUACAGCCAAGAUCCAGGAUAAGGAAGGUAUCCCUCCCGAUCAGCAGAGGUUGAUCUUCGCCGGUAAGCAGCUCGAAGAUGGCAUGACUCUUGCUGAUUACAACAUCCACAAAGCCUCUUGCUGAUCACAAAGCCUUCCAUGGCUACAAAGCUCGAAGAUGGCAGGACUCUUGCUGAUCACAAAGCCUUCCAUGGCUACAUGUCUACGGUUGUUGACGAUGAUCAGAUCCACGAGAGUUUGGGGAUCGAUUAAGCAACAGAUCUCCAAGCUUGCAAAGAUUUCUCUAAACUACUCUGGCCACAAGGAAACAAUCCAUUCUGCCAGACCACACACAGGUACGCAACGGCACUAGCGGAGUUAAACCAGACAAUGAUGAGGAUGUUGUAUGAGAGCUAUGGAAUACUAAGAGAAGAAACACUCAGCGAGACAUUCGGAGUCAACUAGAACAAAUUUCUACUGUACGCCAUUCUGACCAAGAAGCUAGACAUUAUGGAAGAAGGCUCGGGUCUGAUCCUCACGGUCUAUCACUGCACAUCACAUCUUCUAAUGCUAGCCAACAUACCUCAUCGCUAUUAGGAGCUAAUUUAUCUGGAGAGUUCUUCAAAUCCUGGUUUUGGCGUCAGGUUACCUCCCGGCAGGGAUUAUGGUACGUGGAAAGGCAUCCUUACUGCAGCAUCUCUGGACAUGCGUGCCAGAGAUAAGGAGCAAUAACGAGAGAGGGACGCGAACAUGAUAGAGAACGAGAACGAGAGCGGGAGAAGGAACGAGAAAAGCAAAGAGCUAGGUUUAACGAGAACAUGAAUUCAUUCUUUAACUCUUUCCUGCGUGCAACCCUGUCAUGCGGUGAUAUCCAUGGACAAUCCAUGAUCUUGCAGAAUUUUCCUGUAUUGGGAGAAUGUCCCCUGAUACCAGUUACCUGUUUAUGGGAGAUUAUGUUGAUCGUGGUUAUUAUUCUGUUAAACUGUUACGCUGUGAUACCAGAUUGUAAUGCCCGUUGAUCCUAAAAAAAGUUCUCCAAUCGACGUUAUUUCUAAACAUCGGUUAAAGACACCACAGUGAUGAUCUCCUUUCCCAGCCGAUCAUAUUAAGAGAUCGUUGACAGCCUUUUCCGCCUUUGGAUUGCCGAUGCUACACUGUCGUUUCCAUAGUACGUUAAAUCUGAGCAAGAUCCACACUUACAGGUUCUUAAAGAUGGACAGUGGCAAGAGCAAGAUGCGUUUAUCUUGGUACCUGGUGAUAUAAUCAGCAUAAAGCUUGGAGAUAUCAUUCCUGCAGAUACUCACCUUCUUGAAGGGGAUCAUUACCGAUGACCAGGACGAUGGAGUGAGCAAGUCUUCUCUGGUUCUACGUGUAAGCAAGGUGAAAUAUAAGCUAAUGUGGUAGCCACCGGUUCGAACACUUUCGUUGGUAAAACAGCAUGCUUGGUAGAUAGCACAUGUAACUGGACAUCUUCAACAGGUUCUCUUGGUUUCUUUUUGUUUUUUAAAUUUACUAUCCUCUGUUUUCCUCAUUUUCAAAUUUUGGUUUAAAAAAAAAAGUUAUUUCCUGCAACGAUCUCGCAGUGGGAAAUCAGUUACAUUUCUUUCUAAUUAUUUAUGAAACGUUGACGGGAUUUUCGUGAUU